UACAGAGACUGCAAGCGUUAUUCGGAUUCACUGGGCGUAAAGGGUGCGCAGGCGGUCGUGUGUGUCAGAUGUGAAAUCCCGGAGCUUAACUCCGGAACUGCGUCUGAAACUACACGACUAGAGCAUUGGAGAGGGAAGUGGAAUUCAUGGUGUAGCAGUGAAAUGCGUAGAUAUCAUGAGGAACACCAGAGGCGAAGGCGACUUCCUGGACAAUUGCUGACGCUCAGGCACGAAAGCAUGGGGAGCAAAAGGG
rnacentral:rRNA from 2 species